UGAGGAACAUGACCUUCGGCGGGGGAUAGCCGGCCCAACGGCCGGGUAAUACCGCGUACGACCACAUGGGGACAUCCCUGAGUGGUGAAAGCAGCAAUGCGCCGAUGGAGUGCCUCGCGGCCUAUCAGCUAGUUGGUGAGGUAACGGCUCACCAAGGCGACGACGGGUAGCUGGUCUGAGAGGAUGGCCGGCCACAUUGGGACUGAGACACGGCCCAGACUCCGUAGGGAGG
rnacentral:rRNA from 1 species